rnacentral:rRNA from 1 species
AUCAACUUUCGAUGGUAGGAUAGAGGCCUACCAUGGUGGUAACGGGUAACGGGGUGUUAGGGCACGACACCGGAGAGGGAGCCUGAGAAACGGCUACCACAUCCAAGGAUGGCAGCAGGCGCGCAAAUUACCCAAUCCCGACACGGGGAGGUAGUGACAAUAAAUAACAAUACGGGGUUCUUUAGGAUUUCGUAAUUGGAAUGAGUACAAUUUAAAUCUCUUAACGAGGAACAAUUGGAGGGCAAGUCUGGUGCCAGCAGCCGCGGUAAUUCCAGCUCCAAUAGCGUAUAUUAAAGUUGUUGCAGUUAAAAAGCCCGUAGUUGAAUUUCGGGGUCAGUAGGUUGGUCAUGCCACUGGUAUGUACUGGUCUCACUGAUUCCUCCUUCCUGAUGAGCCGUAAUGCCAUUAAUUUGGUGUUGCGAGGAAUCUGGACUGUUACUUUGAAAAAAUUAGAGUGUUUAAAGCAGGCUAACGCUUGAAUACAUUAGCAUGGAAUAAUGAAAUAGGACGUUCGAUCUUAUUUUGUUGGUUUCUAAGAUUGACGUAAUGAUUAAUAGGGAUAGUUGGGGGCAUUAGUAUUCAAUUGUCAGAGGUGAAAUUCUUGGAUUUAUUGAAGACUAACUACUGCGAAAGCAUUUGCCAAGGAUGUUUUCAUUAAUCAAGAACGAAAGUUAGGGGAUCGAAGACGAUCAGAUACCGUCGUAGUCUUAACCAUAAACUAUGCCGACUAGGGAUCGGAUGAUGUUAAUUUUUUAAUGACUCAUUCGGCGCCUUACGGGAAACCAAAGUGUUUGGGUUC